rnacentral:tRNA from 1 species
GCUCCCGUAGUUCAACGGAUAGAAUAGUAGAUUGCGGAUCUACCGAUCCAAGUUCGAUUCUUGGCGGGAGCA